rnacentral:lncRNA from 1 species
GUAUUGUGAUUGUAUGAUGUAUUGAAGUAAUUAUUUCCCAUUUAGAAAAAAAAUAGUUAAUAAUCAAGAGAGGUCUGGUUUCGUAACAAAGAUUUACCAAAUUCAUCAACGUAAUAUUUCUGCUUUACAUCUGACUACAAUGAUUAUUUUUAUUGGCAUUUAGCACCAACAAUGGCAAAAAAUUGGCCUUACGUAAAUCAUUCAUUUAGAGAAACAACUUUAAGUUGACUCGAUAUGAAAAAGAAAGGAAUAAACCUUGUUUUUGUGUAUUUGGUUUGAUUUUUUUAUAUUUUACGAAAUAUAUUUUAAUAUAUUUAAACAAAUAUAUAUUAAAUAAAAUAAGUUUAAAUAAGUUUUUCUAUA